rnacentral:lncRNA from 1 species
UUGUGCACAUAGAAGAUGUAGUUGCUGCACAAAUCUUAGCAAUGGAAGAGCCUAAAGCAUCAGGAAGAUUCAUAUGUUCGAGUUCAGUGGCUCACUGGUCAGAGAUCAUUGAGAUGCUAAGACCUAAAUACCCGUUAUACCCAUUUGAGACCAAGUAGUUACUUUACUCCCAAUCUAUAUUUGACACUUUUAUGUCAUGUUUUUUGAUGUUUUGCACAAAUAAAACUGUCACAGGUGCAGUAGUGAAGAAGGGAAAGAUAUGCCUCAUAGCUUGGACACAACAAAGAUACGUGAACUUGGCUUACCGCCAUUCAAGUCUUUAGCUGAGAUGUUUGAUGACUGCAUCAAGUGCUUCCAAGACAAGGGUCUACUCUGAAACUCCUACUGUUAUCAGAAAAUCAAAGUGAUCUUAGCUUAGUAGUUUGGUCUUGUUUUAAGUUUAUUUUAAACACCAAUAAUCUAGCCUAUCUUAUGAUUCCCCACUAUGUCGUUCCCAUCUUCUUGGAGUUUAGCAUAAAUCGACUGAUAGUGUCACACGUGCUUGCUUGUGACAUGGGUCUGUCUGUACAAAGAAGGGUGCAAGAGCACGUGUACACAAAAAGUAGUGGAUAAUGCCCACUUUUGAGCCUCCAAAAGCAUAAACGCAUGCGAUAACGUUUGUAGACUCUACAAAGAGGAAGGUAGGAACCUAAGAGACGCAGAAGGCGAGACCAACAAAGAACAACUACACAUAAUGCAUCACAGAUUUAACAUAAGAGACUGAAGAAGGUAAAGCCAACAUCCAAAACUCCUGCAAAAACCCUCUUUAGAAGGAUCUAAAAGCACAAGGAGAUUACACAUGCUACAUUCUUAUUCAUGUUCUUUUGAAAUAGCAAACUAAACCUUAAACGAAACGACUAAUUAUUGGAAUACAGUGAAUCAGAUAAGCUGAAAAACUUCAGGGGCAAGCGAUGUUGAGAGGAGGCGCUGCAAAGGCAAACUUCAUAUCAUCAUGCUCAAGUUCCACAUCUGUGAAGUCACAGUCAGGUAGCUCACUUGGUAAGCUGACGUUAUUAACAUUAUCAACCACAGAGAAAUCAUCAAACAGAUGAUCAUAGUCCUCGUCCUUGAAAAAAUAAUCAAAGUCCAUCUCCCCAGCAGCCUUUGCGCCAGACUUCUCUUCUGCUGCUAAGAAGCUCAGAUCAGGGAUCUCCAGCUCAGAAAGGUCGAAACCUUCCUUGGUCAAAUCACCAGAAGCAGCAACAUCUUUCCUCAGAGACACCUUUUCUUUAGAAGCAGCAGAACGCAAGCACUGGCUGUUCGCUGACGCAACCGACGCAUCAAACUCAACCUUCUUGUCAGCAUAAGCCUUCCCAGCUUCUUCAAGGGUUGCAUAAGUACCCAACCACACCUUAGUUUUGGUAAGUGGGUUUCUAAUCUCAGCAGCCCAUUUGCCUGAUUGCCUCAGCCUAACUCCCACUGGCUUGUUAACUUGCAUACGUCUAGAGUUUUUGUGAUACUGAGAACUCUCAGAGAGCAGAAAGGGGAGGUUAAUCUCAUGGACAAUGCGCUUCACCUUAGGAGGCUUACACUCGAACCAUUCGUCGCUAGAGGAGUCAUCAGUAGCAUAAGGGUCACUGACAAUAAUACGAACUUUCCUUCCUCUCACGGACUUCUUCAUAUCUGAUUCAAACACUUCAAAAUCUCUUACCAAAAACUGCUGAAUCAGACAAGGGGCUUUGUCUCAGCGAACUAUGAAAAAGGGUAACCUUUGCCUCUUGUGAGUCCUGUACAAAUAAAAAGAAACCCAUAACCAGUUAGGCUUCUUCUUGUAGAUGGAGAGGAGACAAGAAAGGUCAUACCUUUUAGGUCUUACGCCCAUGGAAAGUGAUGGAACCUCCAGAACAAGCCUCUGCUUGGAGCAGAAGCGAAGAGAGUUAAGAACAGUGGUCAGAACAAAGAACAGAGCAGACGAGGUCGAAGAAGACGAUCGAGUAGGAGAGGAGACGUGAAACAGAGACGAAAUCAAAGCCGAUUCAGACACAGCCGACAUAAAUCUCCGACCUUUACUGAUUGUUCCUGUUCUUCAAUAAGACGCAGAACCCAGAAAGAUCAGUGACAAAGCAAACCCUUAAACCCUAGAAAGAAGUGUAAAAAAAAGGUUCUUGAUUUUCACUCUGUUUUGCAGAAAAAUCAGAUCUUUAGAGAGAGAGAAGAACGUAAACAACAGCGACAGUAGCGAAUCUAAGAGAAGACUUUGGUUUUGAUUAAUUAAACUAACGAGUUCCUGGGAGAGAUUGUGUAUGAAAAAAAAUUAAAGCUUUUUCACCUACCUUUGUGUGAGGCGUACUCUUGAGUUUUCUCUCAGGGAUAAAGCAGCUUUCAACCUCUGUUUAUAUUCUGUUAUUUUUUGAUUCACCUCUCCGAUUUUCUCUCUAGGUAUUUAUCUUCUGGUCAAAAGGAGCAAUUAUCUUUCUUUCUUUUUUUAUUACUAGACCCAUUCAAACAAAACGUAACAAUUUUGGAAGUAAAAUAUAUACUUCCUAUAUAAUUUCACAUUUUCUAAAAUAUGCGAGAGCAGAAUUUAUUAAAUUUCAUUCAAAUUAUGCAAUGUAUUUUUCUUUUAAAGAAAUCAUUUUAUUGAUUAAAAGUUAGAGGUUGAAAAUGAAAACAAACCCUCCAUAUGGAUACUUUAACUAUACUUUUUUUUGUCAAACGGAUACUUUAACUAUACAAAAUGGUAUAAAAUCUACUAUAUUUGUAAGGUUAACCCAAAAAUAAAUCUAUAUCUGCUUACAUUUUCAGAUAAGGAAUUCUAUUUGAGGGUUUUUAUUCUUAAAAAUAUUUUGUUAGCAUUCUUCUCUUGUAAAGAUCUACAUCCAACUAAGCUACAUAUGUUUGAUUACAUAAAUUGUUUUUUUUUUCUGACUGAAAUAAAUAUAUGAUACUCCAGUAGAAUAAAUACUGAGAUCUGGUAGACAAAUAUUCAAAAUGAGAAGAAAUUACAGCAUAAAUUAUCAUAUUUUUAUGUUCUCUUGAAUUAGUAAAAAUCUGAUAAAAGUAGUAUAUCAUCAAUGUAUAAGGGAUGUGCAAAUUGAUGGGCCCAUGACCAACCAUGCUUAAUAUCCCAUGCAUCUAUCAUGGCCCACCUAAAAUUCCAAUCGUCUCAGGGUACCCACUUGGCCACUUCUACCGUGUGAAUGUGAUACAUUUUCUCCCUUUUUUCUUUCUAAACCUCGUUUACCAAUGAAUUCAGGUGAAAAUAGUAAAGUGUCAAAUUGGGCCGGCCUGUCCCAAACAAAAGUUAUCUGUGGUAGAUUGGCCCGCAAAGUUCACGGGUAACUUGUAUAAAAAUAUAAGCCCUUGAUAAAUUUGUACGGUUAGCUUAAUGACAACGAAACACACAUUGAUUUUUCUUCUACGACUUCUAAAGUUUUGCUUGACGUCUUAAACAAAGCCAUAAACAAAGAGAAAAAAAAAAAAUUUGACCAAAAAAAAUUUGACAAGAAAAAAAAGAAAAAAAGAAAAAAAGAAAAAAAGAAGAAGAGAAAAGACACAUAGUAUUGAAUACUAAUGAAGUAAUGAUAAUACAACUAACUCACGAUUUCUGUCAUUAUGCAUAGGCCUCGGACAUUUAUCAGGAAAAUCGAUUAUGUACCUAAAAAUAUCGAUUAUGUGCCUAUAAAUAUCGAUUAUAUUUAGUUUCUAAAUAACCAACAUCUUAAGAAUAUUAUCUAUAAACCAAAAUACCAAAAAUCUGAAUUAUUUAAAUAUCUUUUAGAGAAAUACCCUAGGAUAUCAUUAAAAAAGUUUUUGUCACAAAUAUAGAAUUAAAGAUCAAAAUGACUAAAAUGUUUCAUUAAAUAGGUAAAUAUACACUUAUAAAUUAUAGCAAUAGAGUUAAAUAAUCCAAACUUUAAAGUUUAGAGUUAAGGGGUGGAGAUUUAUAAUUGAAGUUUAAAAUUUUAUAAAAUAAAAAAUAAAUAUUAAAAAUUUGAAAAGUAUUUUCGAAUUACAAAAAAAAAAUUCAAAAAUAAAACAAAAAAUAAUAUCAAAAAUAAAACAUUUUGGUCAUUUUCCUACUUAAGAUCUAUUUUUGUAACAAAAACUUGAAAAUUGUCUAUUUGGGAAAAUGGCUCUGUCUUUUGUCCAAAAUAUUUUAAAUUCUCCGAAUUACCUAAUAUUUUUAUCCGAACAACCGAAUCAUCCGAUAUUCAACCUGAAAAAACCUUGAAUUAUCUAACAUUUUUUAACCUAUAACAUUUGAAAUUACUCAAGAAAAUAAAAACCUAACCAGAAUUAAAUUAAACCCAAUUUUUUUUGCAUAUUAGCUAAUUUCCAACGUUACUACUCUAAACGAACCAAAAACUAACACAAUCAAAUCGAAACCUAAUCGGAUUUUGUAAAUAAUUUCUAAAUUUCUAAAUUUCUAAAUUUCUAGCACUAGAAAGCUGACAACUGAAAUAUCAAAACUGAACCGAAAAUCAAAAUAUUCAAACUGAACCGAAAACCGAACGCUCGUAUUUUUGUGUAGCAUCAAAUUCAGUGUUCAUGUAUAAGCAUGAUUGGACCAUUUUUUAUUUACGAUUUAUUUCACUUAAAUUAUUUUGCUUAUGAGGCCGAAAUUUGAUUAUUUUGCUAAAUAUAUUUUUGCACUCGAAUAAAAUAUGAGGCUGUCUGGUUGUGUAUGAUUGGACCAUAAAACAUGAUGCAUGCAAUGCAAUUUUAAAUUGAAAACCACAGAUCCAUUGAAUUGUUUAUCUUUAAAAAUUAAAAAAAUGAAGCCUGCAUACGAAUCGCAGCAAGAACCAUGAUACUUCUUCACCAGUCACAUUCAUAUAUCUUUAAUGGGAAGGUGGUAUCAGUCAUGAGAUCAGAAUCAAUGGGACGAUCAGUUCAAUUAUUUGUGCUGAUAUAAAAAGAACUUUUAAAACCGUUUUACUUUAUUUUUAUAAGGCCAAUAAAUCACUCAUCCCUGUGUUUAUGAAUCUGUGUGAUCUGCUCAGACAAGUCAAGAAACAUGGCUACCAAAUCAGACAUGUUCGGAGACCACACCAGAGAGUCGCUUCUCUCUCGAAAAGGCUGCUCAGACUUCGGCUUCAAUGACUCCGGCAUCAUCUCCGACGACCGUCGUUCUAAAUGGCGGUGUUUCCGGUUCUUCUCCGACGGGAUCGUCGCUUCCUGGAAAGCUCUCUACGACUUCGCCGCCAGUUUGUACGAGAUGGGUCGUUCCGAUCGCCGGAAAGUUUACUUCGCCGUGAAGAUGGGAGUGGCUCUCGCGCUCUGCUCUUUCGUCAUCUAUCUCAAGGAGCCGCUUCAUGACGCUAGCAAGUACGCUGUGUGGGCGAUUCUAACUGUCGUCGUCGUCUUUGAGUAUAGCAUAGGUACUGGAACUGACUUUCCUGGAACAAUUCUAGAUUCGAAUCGAUUAGAUUAGCUUCUGGGUUUGUUGUUGUUGCUCGAUUGAAUCUGAAAGUUUGUUCCUUUCUCAAUAAAUCAGCACCUGAGAUUGUUGUCUGAAGCAAUUUAAGAUCUGUCCUGGUUAAAGGGUUUAGAAUUAUUACAGUUCUAUCCACAUCUGUUGCUUGCUUGAUCUCUCUCUCAGAGAUCUCUGGUCUGAUGAUGUGUAACUCUUUUUUUUUUCGUGUAGGAGCAACAUUGGUAAAAGGAUUCAACAGAGCCAUAGGCACACUCUCUGCUGGUGGGCUUGCUCUUGGCAUAGCUAUUUUCCAUUUUUUAAUGCUGUAUGUUUACAUAUUUUUUACAAUUUUCGAAAAUAAUUAAUAUUAAAAUGUAAAACUAUAUUUUAUGCCACGUGUCAUCUUUCGGGAGAAAUUUUUUCCGCUGAUGUGGACGCCCUAUGGAGCCUCAAAAGCUCCCUUUUAUUAAUUUUCGAAAAUAAUUAAUAUUAAAAUGUAAAACUAUAUUUUAUGCCACGUGUCAUCGUUCGGGAGAAAUUUUUUCCGCUGAUGUGGACGCCCUAUGGAGCCUCAAAAGCUCCAUUUUAUUAGUAGAGUGAAAAAUAGUAAUCUUACAUAUGUUUAAUGUAGUUUUCCAUUUUUUAAUGCUGUAUGUUUACAUAUUUUUUACAAUUUUCGAAAAUAAUUAAUAUUAAAAUGUAAAACUAUAUUUUAUGCCACGUGUCAUCUUUUGGGAGAAAUUUUUUUCGCUAAUGUGUACGCUCUAUGGAGCCUCAAAAGCUCCAUUUUAUUAGUAGAGAUUUUUGUUAGCAAAGUCGUAAUCACCAAAUCAUGGGCCGGCGACUUCUUUAUGUUAUGUUGGGAUGUAUGGGCUUAUCAGUGCACUAACCUCAUGUGCUUAUUAUGUCUUACGUUCACUUGAGUUCUCGAAUUUAACCCGUCUACAUUCAGAUUCAAACCUUCUGAAACAAUUGUGCCAAUUUGUAAGUUUCUUUUAGAUAUCUAAUAUAUCCUAAAUAAAAUUAUUUGGUUGGCUGAGCAAAGAUAUCUUAUCUCCAACUCAUAAGUUAAAAAAAAAAUGAUGUACGAAUAUGGUUGACGACUUGACUUGUUGUUGGAAAUGCGUAGGAUCCAAAAAAAGUCAACCAGAAACAGAACUUGACUCUGAUUGUGAAUCCAGUAAUCAGAACAGAGGAACAGUAUUGAAUAAUAUUAAAAUGGGAGAGUACUUGGUAACUGGAGGGACAAGCUUUAUAGCCUCUCACGUUGUAAAGGCACUUCUUGACUUGGGCCAUUCCGUAAGAACAACUGUUAGAGACUCCUCAGGUACUUUCAGAUCUCUCAUUUAUGUUUUGCUGCUACGAGUUUUGUUUCUAACUAUUUUGUAAAGAUGAAGAGAAGGUUAGGUUUUUGUGGGAGUUAAAAGGAGCCAAAGAAAGGUUAAAGAUUUUCGAAGCCGAUCUAACAGUGGAGGGAAGCUUUGACGAGGCUGUCAAAGGUGUUGAUGGAGUCUUCCACAUUGCCUCUCGUGUUACUGUUUGUCUGGACAAAAAUGAUCUGGUCAAUUACAGUUUACUUUUGUUAGAAAAUAAUCUCAUUUUCUAUUUCAUAUCGAUCAAAGUAGUUGAAGUAUUGGAGAUAACUGAUGUUUUUUUUUCCCUCAGGAGAAGUUGGUCGAUCGAGAUAUAAAUGGAACAAGGAACUUGAUGAACUCUUGCGAAAAAUCAAGAAACACUGUGAAAAGGAUCGUUCUCACAUCUUCUUCAACCGCAGUCAGGUACCGCUAUGAUGCCACAGACGCCUCUCCACUUAACGAAUCGCAUUAUAGCGAUCUUGACUACUGCAGAAACUUCAAAGUGAGAAAACAUACCUCAUUUUUGUAUCAAUUUCACCCAUCCUCAUGGCUCAUACAUUGUUGUCUGAAAAAUGUAUGUAGAUUUGGUAUGGUUAUGCAAAGACAUUAGGAGAGAAAGAAGCUUGGACUAUCGCAGCCGAGAAGAAUCUAGAUCUAGUGGUUGUAAUCCCUUCGUUUUGUAUCGGUCCAAUACUUAGUCCAGAACCCACAAGCUCCCCUCUCAUUCUCCUCUCCAUAAUCAAAGGUUAGGGAUAGUCUUUUCAUUUUGACUAUUACAUUUUAAAUUUCUGUAACGCACCUCAACUUUCUUGUUUUGACUAGGUGUUCGGGGAGAUUAUCCGAAUGUCACGGGAGGGUUUGUGCACAUAGAAGAUGUAGUUGCUGCACAAAUCUUAGCAAUGGAAGAGCCUAAAGCAUCAGGAAGAUUCAUAUGUUCGAGUUCAGUGGCUCACUGGUCAGAGAUCAUUGAGAUGCUAAGACCUAAAUACCCGUUAUACCCAUUUGAGACCAAGUAGUUACUUUACUCCCAAUCUAUAUUUGACACUUUUAUGUCAUGUUUUUUGAUGUUUUGCACAAAUAAAACUGUCACAGGUGCAGUAGUGA